rnacentral:rRNA from 1 species
ACGCACGCUGGCGGCGGGCUUAACACCUGCCAGGCGAACGGAAAGGCCCUGCUUUUGUGGGGUGCUCGAGUGGCGAACGGGUGAGUAACACGUGAGUAACCUGCCCUUGACUUUGGGAUAACUUCAGGAAACUGGGGCUAAUACCGGAGAGGAGCUCCUGCUGCCUGGUGGGGGUUGGAAAGUUUCGGCGGUUGGGGAUGGACUCGCGGCUUAUCAGCUUGUUGGUGGGGUAGUGGCUUACCAAGGCUUUGACGGGUAGCCGGCCUGGGAGGGGGACCGGCCACAUUGGGACUGAGAUACGGACCAGAAUCCUACGGGAGGCAGCAGUGGGGAAUAUUGCACAAUGGGCGGAAGCCUGAUGCAGAAACGCCGCGUGCGGGAUGACGGCUUUCGGGUUGUAAACCGCUUUCGCCUGUGACGAAGCGGGAGUGACGGUAAUGGGUAAAGAAGCACCGGCUAACUACGUG